rnacentral:lncRNA from 12 species
AUAAGAUAUAUAUAUAUAUAUAAAUAAUCAUGAAUGUGACAGUUUCAAAGGCAGAUUUAUACAUGUCCUAUGGGUGACUCAAAUACCAUGAUAUGAUUUUGGGAAAUGGUGACUAACUCUGGGAAAAGUUUUGGAAAAAAAACAAAGUAAAUCCUUCCUGAGUUCCCACUGCAGUUUCAUUAUUGGAUAAUUAAGGGUAUAUUGAAACUGUGAAAAAAAAUUGUGUUUAUAUGUAAAACAUAGCUAGGCUCUAGUCUCAGAAACCAAUCAAUAGGAUUUUUUCCUGCAUCCGUAGCUGGCAGGAACCCUGGAGACUUUUUUUGCUGUGACCAUCUCCUAUGUCGCAGAAUGUCUGCAUCUCUGUCCCUGUCCAGUAAAUGCUGAUGGUGCUUCCCAGUCAUUGACACAACCAAAGACGUGCCUUCAAGCUUCAUGAUACCUGCACCCUCCCCGUCUGCUGAGAACCACUGGCCACGAGGGACUGUGGAAGAAGAGCGAUGGUGGAUGGUGGAUGGUGGAUGGUGGAUAGAAGCUUCCUGAAUUGCAUAAGAAGCUGCUGCCCAGAGCAGAAGGACAAGCAAGAAUGGGUGAGAAAAUCAUGGAGGUAUAAAGAAGCAGAAGAACCUACAUGUAAGAGAGAAGAGAUCGUCUGCUUUUGUAAAUAGAUAUUGUAAAUGAGAAAUAUGUGGUUCUCGUAGAAUUGUAGUACAUGGGGAGGACCUUUUUGAUUGAGACUGUGAUUAUAUAAACCAUACCUCUGAGAUUUAUUUUAAUUAAAGAAAGGAAAAACUUUCCAGCCAAGCAAACAAAACAAAAAGACAGAACAACAUAUAUAUAUAUAUAUAUAUAUAUAUAUAUAUAUAUAUAUAUAUAUAUAUUCUUUAUUUCCAGAAUUUGGCUUUGUUAUCGAGCUGUCAGCCAGUCGAAAGUUCUCAAAAAUUGUGUCUGUUUCCUAACAAACUCACAUGGAAAAUCUACCCUGAUGUAUGUAUCUUUAACUAUAGGCUCAGGUUUUAGAUUUUUUUUUUUUUAAAUUUUUAUUUAUUUAUGAUAGUCACACACAGAGAGAGAGAGAGAGGCAGAGACAUAGGCAGAGGGAGAAGCAGGCUCCAUGCACCUGGAGCCCGACGUGGGAUUUGAUCCAGGGUCUCCAGGAUCGCGCCCUGGGCCAAAGGCAGGCGCUAAACCACUGCGCCACCCAGGGAUCCCUAGGUUUUAGAUUUCUUUAUGAGAGCUUAGCUCAACCCCACAAUUCAUUUAUUCAAUUUACUUCCUAGAAUUAAUAAGGAAAAAUUCAACUUCAUAAACACAGC